AAUUGAAACACCAGUUCACAUACGAUCAUCAAAGUUAAGGAAUGUUGAGCUAGUUCAGUACCUAGAUAGGUGACUGCUUAGGAAUACCAGAUGCUGUAAG